rnacentral:tRNA from 1 species
GUCUCCGUAGCUUACAACAAAGCAUGACACUGAAGAUGUCAAGAUGGCUGUCCAACACACCCGAAGACA